ACUUAAGUCAUUUAAUAAACCAAAUAAAUACAGCAGCAUGGGAAUAAACAAAUAGGAAACUAAAGAACGCUCAUCUGCCAUUUCAGAAAAAACCGUCUCUAUUUCUUUAUCCCAAAUAUACCUUUUUCCCAUUUUGAAAAUACAAUAAAAAACAUUUAAGAAAAACAAAAAUGAGAUGACCCACAAACACAUGCAGAUGAUGAUAAAGCUAGACCAAGCGGAAACUUGAAGGAAACUAAACCGGCAUGCAAAUAACUUCCUCAGAAUGAUGCAAAGCGAGACCGAAGCAUGGAUUAGAAACAAAGCUCGUAAGUGAAACUAACCAGUUGCAGCGAAGCCGGCCAACGAAUGAGCAGGGUUUCUCCUCUUUUCUUCAGUAGCCGUCAACACUUUUCUCUAGGGUCCUCCCUUUCGUCGCCUCCGAUCCCCCUUUUUUAUAUCCUUUCUACCUAGGGUUUCAGAUUGGUGUAUAGAGAUUCAAAAAGAAACGUUUUCGAAGUGCUUUUUGGUGCUCAACUUUUGAUUGCUCUCUUUGAUGCCUGGAUUCGAAAACGUGAAAAUGAUGAAGAUUCCAAAAGCGGUUCCGGUUUUGAUCACAACUCUGUUUUGUACUCGGUUUUGGGUGGUUUCAGGUGGUGGCUCGGCUAUGAUGCUGAAGUUUGCAAAAACAAUGGCUCAGGAACACUGUAUCUUCGCAUAAUCGUUUGUAUUGGUUCAGCAAGUAUCUCCCAGCAUUGGUUCAAGUCUUCGCUCAAGCGAGCUUUGUUGACCUGAAGCUUCCCAAUUCCUUGAAGCUUUGGUUGAAGAGCAUGGCCGGACUGACUUUGGAUGUUAUAACAGUGGAAGUUACGACGAGACAAAAGAGGUUAUUGCAUUUACUUUCCUUAUAGUUUCAUCUCAUCAAUUCAAUACUUCUCUGAACUUUUUCUCAUAUUUCACAGAUAAUAAAAAUGGCCUCAGCCUCAGCAGCAUCUCCAUCUACAAUCACUGUUGUAGGAAGCUCAGUCACCGGUUCCAAAUCAAGGAACAACAGGAAGGGUCAUAACGUGAGGUUCAUCACAACACUCAAUUCUUUUAACGGAUUGCAAGCUCAGCACAAAACUGUGGCAUCACUAGGAGUUCCUGUUUCCAGUGAACUGGCUUUUGCAAAAAGUGAGGAGUUCAAUAUAUAACGGAGGAAGAAGUGGUAGAGGUGGUGGUGCGCUCGCUUCAAAAUGCAAUGUUGCAGGAAUAUGAAACAUUAAACAUUAUUACAUGAUUUUCGAGUCUUGGCUCUUGUCUCAAUGAAGUGAUACGCAUUCGCCUGUCGCCGGUUCUCAUGACGAUUUGAGAGGUCGGUAGAGGUGUACUUGUAUAUUUGCGCGGACAUGAAGGUAGGGGUAUUGGAUUGGGCCACAAGCUCCAUGCUUAAAACCUACAGGAUGAUGGGCGCGAUACCAUAGAAGCCAAUGAGGAGUUGGGAUUGCCUGUUGACUCUAGGGAGUAUGGCAUUGGUGCGCAGAUACUGAGGGAUCUGGAUGUUCAAUCUAUGAAGUUGAUGACUAACAAUCCAUCCAAAUAUAUUGGUCUCAAGGUUUAACUGUUUCUGGUAGGAUCCCAUUGUUAACUCUUAUCACUUCAGAGAACAAGAGAUUUUUGGAGACAAAACGUGUGAAAAUGGGCCACCUCUAUGGCACGGAACAUAACAGUGGCAAUGUUAAAACCGAUAGUGUUGAAGACUCAAAUUCAAACGGAGUUACCAGCCUUUGAAGCCUUAGAAGAGGAAGUAGAAAUUAACAUUGCAGCUGAAUCCAAAAUGUGACAGUUGAAUAAUUCUAUUUAUGAAUUGAUUAUUUGCAUAAUUGUUUUGCCCGGUUUUCUUCAACCAGUCACUACUUAUUUAGACCUCAUUCUGAAACUUAGUGUCAUUCAUUAUAAGAUAAGGCCAUUGCCAAAAUCAAAUUCUGGUUUCCUCGUC